AUAGGAUGGAAGCAGAUGAAGUUGACGAACGUGUGUCGUAUUCAAAAUCGCUGUCAGCGGUUUGUUUUUACGGCCGAUGUGGGCCGGCGGCUUUGGUCAAUGCAACGCGUCUAGCGUCGAUGGUGACCCUGCGGAGGGACAAUCAGUCGUCGUACGGUGCUUGGUAUGGCUAAGGUUUCGCCGGUCUUAAAGUCAGCGCCUCAACUGACCCGUCUUGAAACACGGACCAAGGAGUGUAGCGUUUGCGCAAGUCUUAGAGUGUAUCGAAACUUUGAGGCGUAACGAAAGUAAAUGCAGUUUAAUCUGCUGACUUGGGAUGCGUUGUCUCUUGUGGACGGCGCUGGACCAAGGUUUUAUCGCGAUCGCUUGCGGUGCGGUGAAAAUAGAGCGUAAACGGUGCGACCCGAAAGAUGGUGAACUAUGCCUGAGCAGGAUGAAGCCGGAGGAAACUCUGGUGGAAGUCCGAAGCGGUUCUGACGUGCAAAUCGAUCGUCUGACUUGGGUAUAGGGGCGAAAGACUAAUCGAACCAUCUAGUA
rnacentral:rRNA from 1 species